UUACAUGGAGUACGCGAGGGGAAGAUUCGAGCAGUAUUGGUUGAGAAAGCCCGAACUCUUGUGUGCCACAGACAACUUGCCUCAUGUAAACACUUCAGCUGAAGCAAAAACAGAUUCUCCACUAUUGGUUUCAAAACAUGGGUGCCACAGACCACUUGCCUCAUGUAAACACUUCAGCUGAAGCAAAAACAGAUUCUCCACUAUUGGUUGAUGUCAAAACAUGUACAUUAACAGUAUAGAUGUUUGUCUUCAUUAUAAACAGGCCUAUGUCAUAUAAUGACUGGAGCAUUUAGAAUCUUGGAUGUUUCAUAGAAUAUGUUGAUAGGCUAUUAUUGAGGUUAAGUAUCUGUUGUAUUGCCAGUGAGAGUGUUCUCGCAAACUAUAUUGCCCAGUUCAAUAAAUUCAAAUUUUCAUUCUCAAGCAUAGUCUAAAUGAUAUCUGAAAUAUGCCUUCUAAAAAUAGGAAAGACAAAACAAGAAAAAGCAAAACAGCUGCAUUCUGCAUGGGAAUUAUUCUACCACUUUGUGAUGAUUGUCAUGGAG
rnacentral:lncRNA from 1 species